UACGGAGGGUGCAAGCGUUAAUCGGAAUUACUGGGCGUAAAGCGUGCGUAGGUGGUUUGAUAAGUUAUCUGUGAAAUCCCCGGGCUCAACCUGGGCAGGUCAGAUAAUACUGUUGAACUCGAGUAUGGGAGAGGGUAGUGGAAUUUCCGGUGGAGCGGUGAAAUGCGUAGAGAUCGGAAGGAACACCAGUGGCGAAGGCGGCUACCUGGCCUAAUACUGACACUGAGGCACGAAAGCGUGGGGAGCAAACAGG
rnacentral:rRNA from 1 species